UACGUAGGGGCCUAGCGUUGUCCGGAAUUAUUGGGCGUAAAGAGCUCGUAGGCGGUUCAGUAAGUCAGGUGUGAAAUCUUUGGGCUUAACCCAAAGCGUGCAUUUGAUGCUGCUGUGACUUGAGUUCGGUAGGGGAGUGGGGAAUUCCUAGUGUAGCGGUGAAAUGCGCAGAUUAUUAGGAGGAACACCGGUGGCGAAGGCGCCACUCUGGGCCGAAACUGACGCUGAGGAGCGAAAGCGUGGGUAGCAAACAGG
rnacentral:rRNA from 1 species